rnacentral:rRNA from 1 species
GACGAACGCUGGCGGCGCGCCUAACACAUGCAAGUCGAACGAGAGAGAGGGAGCUUGCUUCCUCGAUCGAGUGGCGAACGGGUGAGUAACGCGUGAGGAACCUGCCUCAAAGAGGGGGACAACAGUUGGAAACGACUGCUAAUACCGCAUAAGCCCACGACCCGGCAUCGGGAAGAGGGAAAAGGAGCAAUCCGCUUUGAGAUGGCCUCGCGUCCGAUUAGCUAGUUGGUGAGGUAACGGCCCACCAAGGCGACGAUCGGUAGCCGGACUGAGAGGUUGAACGGCCACAUUGGGACUGAGACACGGCCCAGACUCCUACGGGAGGCAGCAGUGGGGAAUAUUGCACAAUGGGGGAAACCCUGAUGCAGCGACGCCGCGUGGAGGAAGAAGGUCUUCGGAUUGUAAACUCCUGUUGUUGAGGAAGAUAAUGACGGUACU